GUUUACAUUAAAAAGCCUGCAGGGACAAACUAUAGACACCAGAACAACUUUAUUAAGCUGCAGUGGUUCUGGGGACUAUAGUGUCCAUUUAAUGUGAGGUAAAUUAGAGAUUAGUGUCACUAAUAAUAUACUAGAUUGCCUACUUACAAUCAGAUGAGGAUGGUGAUGGGCUCUGGCUGCAGUCUGGCUCCACUGGUCUGGUGUAGAACAGGAUCUCUG